UCAGGUAUUAGCGAUAAUUUUUCUUUUGCUUGCUGCCUUCUUUCCGUGCUGAAAGCCUCUUUGUUUUCCUGCAGUUAGGCUGGUUGCUACUCUGUAUCCAUUUCUUACAUUGAGCUCCUCUGCAACCCAAGGAAUCUAUGAAUCCUUCCCCUAAUACAGACGGAAUCAGUUUGCAACCCAGAGGCACUCUGCUGAACUUUUCUUUGAGGCUGUUAAUUUUGGCAAAUGUGUCCCUCAGUUUAGUCCUCUGUCUGGUGAUGAUAUGUUGGCUUGGUUCCUCUAUGGGAAUUACGUGGUUGCACAGAGGAGAUGGUGGCACUAAUGCUUUCAUGUCCUGAGGCCCAAGGACAGCUGGUCAUUGUCACAGAAACGUUCACGGCAGUUCAUUAGAAAGUAGCAUCCAUCCCCACAGCAGCCACCAUGGUUUUCUAGGUGCUCUUGACAAGGAAACAAUGGUGACACGGGAAGAGGCUUGACACUUUGACAAGAGGAUCACGCUCUUUGAUGCUGGUGAAACCCCGCAGGGAAGAAAGUAUAUUUUACAGAAAUCUUUUGUGAAGCCCUGUAGCUCCCAGCUUCACCAUGGGGCCACUGGUCACCCUGCUCCGCGUCACUUGCUGACACUCCACUGGAUGCUGCUCCCUGUCCGGGGAACCAGCACGGGGACCAAAUCUGCUGUGCCUGCACUCUUCGCAGUUCCUGCUUCCUAUCUGAUUGUACUGAGACUUUGGCAUGCCCUCAGGGAAUGACCUUGGAAACCGGAAAACGUUUAGAACUUUACUCUACAGAUGACUUUCUCUGCAGUUCAAGGUGAAAAAAAGCACUGAAGUCUGCUAACCAUUCUUAAGUCUGAGAACAAAGUCUGAGAUGUUCCAUUAGAACAUUUGCUUCUCUUCUUUUUAAGAAAAUUUUAAAUUAUUUUUUAUUUUUAUUUUCUUAAAUGUUUAUUUAUUUACUUUGAGAGAGAGAGGGAAUGAGAGUGAAUGAGUGGGGAAGAGGCAGAGAG